rnacentral:miRNA from 1 species
CUCGAGUGAGGUAGAGUCGU